rnacentral:lncRNA from 1 species
GUGAUCAAAGCUGAGAAGCAAGACAAAGUGACAGGAACUAACAUCUAUUGAGCAUCUAGUGAGUGCUAAGUAUUGGGCUACGGGCUUUAGUGCAUGUGGUCUCAUUUGUCACUGAGAAAUGACAACUGACCAGUGACAGAAUCCUCACCAGAAAAGGUCUCAGGUAAUGUGGUUUCAGAAGAAACCAGUAUGGGUUAGGGUGCUUACACUGGCAAUUCAUAGAAAAUGUAAAAACUUUCCUAAGUGAUAAGGACACUUGUUGGCUCAGGAGAGGAGAGGCCAGUGGCUUAUUGAUGCUUGUAAGCCCCCAGGUUACCUCUAUCUCUGCCUAUGAGGGUUCACUCGCUCCUGGGGCUUGCUGUCUUUGUGAGCAUAGAAUGGUUGCCAACACAUUAAUGCUAGUGCUCCCUUAUCUGUGUCCAGAGAGUGCGAGUGAGUGAGAGAGAGCGGGUUUCUAGUACUUCUUCCGGAAAAGCAAUGUACCUCCUUCCUAGAAGCCUCUUAGCCAUCCCAUCUUGUUGCCUAGAACUGGGUGACACGGCCAAUCUUCAACUCUAAUAAGGAGGAUGGAAUUACCUUUACAGGUUUAGACUACCAAGGGGGUACUCUGGGAGUUAAGAGUGGGGUCAGUGGGCAACUUGGAAGCAAGGUGUAUUCAAAUGGAAAUCUUGCUUUUGGUAAGAAGGAGCAAGCCCUGAGCUAUACAGAAGUGAAAUCAGGUUCUAUGCAAUGAUAUUUAGAAAGAAAUUCAUCAAAAAGAUGUAAACAAUUUCUGCUUUUACAGGGGAAAACAACAAUUACCUGGGUUGUUCACUCAAAUUUCACUCCUAAGCUCCAGAUAUAUUUGGUAACCUUAUGCAUUUUAAAUACAACAAAUCCAAGAUGGCAGCCGUCACUGCUUUGUUCUACCUCAUCAAAUGUGCUCUUCCUACUGGGUUCUCCGGUUUGUUCAAUGACACCACCCAAGCAUAGACACCCAAGCAACAAAUUAAAACCCUUUCUGCCAAACUCUUAUACCUGGAUAUGCCAGGGUGUCUCUGAAGUUAUUUGUCAUAAAGGGACAAAGCCUAGUUGGCAAAGCCAAUGUUGAUAUCAACAUAUUUGGAAUCACCUUCAAGCAUGUUUCAACGUGUCUAUGACUACCUGUCUUUUAUGUAGAUUUUAUUUUAUUUGGGCCAACUGCAGCAUCUAGAACACAUGACCUCAAGUAAGCAAGUUUAGUCCUUGCAUUUUUCUUCUGGGGCUAACCUGUGCCUGUGAGAGAGACAGCUAAAGUUAAAGGCACAUGCCUGGCUGCAUGCUGAAAGGAGCAAGAGUUUCACCUGGUGGUAGCAAGAUCGCUCUGGGGGCAGGUGGUGGUGAGUGUUGGCCGAACUUCAGAAAUUUUCUGUAGUUGUAACUGAUUUUGCCUGGUUGUGCUGUGAGUGCCACACAGUGUUGUGCACAUCUCUGGAUGUAAAUGUGGAAUUUUAAAACUUUGCUAUCUGGCUUUAGUCAACCUAAAACAUGGACUUUUUUAGCCAGGCGCUACCCCGGCUCACCAGACAGGUUUGCCACAGGGAAAAAAAAAAUGAAGUGUAAGUUUGGCUUCAAUUUACUUACAGACCAUAACAUAGACCCUCAGAAUAUGCUUUUGGUUUUUCUUGGUUGCUGUUUAUUGCUGUAUUAAUUCCCUAGGGCUGCCAUAACAAAUUACUAAAAACUGAUGGCUUAAACAACAGAAAUUUAUUGUGCCACAGUUCUGGAGGCUGGAAGUCUGAAAUCACGCUCCCUCCAAAGGUUCUGAGGGAGGAUCCUUUCAUCAUUUUCCAGCUUCUGGUGGCUCCCGUGUUCCUGAGACUAUUCUGUUUUCAGCCUCCAUCUUCACAUAACCUUCUCUGUUUCUCCUUCUUCUGUCUCUCAUAAAGACACUUAUGGACACUGGAUUUAGGGCCCACCUCAAUAAUCCAGGGUAAUCUCAUCUCAUCUCUUAAUUACGUCUGUAAAGACCAUUUACCCAAAUAAGGUCACAUAUACAGAUUCCAGGAUGUGGACCUAUAUUUUUGGGGCCAUGAUGAAACUCACUAGAGUUGCCAUGCUUCUCCUGAGAUCAUGAAUAUUGAGACAUUCAGCACGGUUCGUGGCUUCCAAAUCCAAGGAUCGGUGCCACCGCUCAGAAGAGCUGCUUCAAGGAAGGUGAGUCUCAAACAUCCAAAAUGGCAGGCUGUAUCCCUCAUAAUCGUCUUGUUUCCUUGUUGUUUUAGUUAUCACCUGGAGAGCUGUACAUGCACAAGAAAUAACUUUUGGGAGAUCCCAAAUAAUGCAUUUGUAGUCCAAACGUUGCCAGCAGACACCAGAAGCUAGAAGAAACAAAGAAAGGGUUCUCUUCUACAGAUUUCUGAGGGAGCAAGUGCCUGACACCUUGAUGUCAGAACUCAAGCCUCCAAAAGUACUCCAAGAUGAUGAUUAAGGUGGGCCCUAAUCCAAUCUGACUGGUGUCCUCGUAAGAAGAGAAGAUGAGGACACAGACAAACACAGAGGGAAGACUGUGUGAGGGCACAGGGAGAAAAUGACUCUCUACAACAAGGAGAGAGGCUUCAGAAUAAACCAAUUCUGCUGACACCUCUCAAACUUCUAGCCUCCAGAAGAGUGAGGAAAUCCAUUUCUGUUGUAUAAGCCACCCAGUUUGUGGUGUUUAUUAUGGCGGCCCUAGCAAGGGAAUACAGAGGGAGACAGGUUCAGACAUGUAAAGCGAGCCUUUAAAAGACACCACGUGCACCAGUGGAGCCCCAGGCCCAGGCCCCACAGACCUUGCCUCCUGGUCCAGUCCUUACUUUAUCUCAGGAUGUGACAUUGCGUUUCUUAUGGAAAAGAUCUCACUAACCUACUUCAUUUAGGAAUGCAAUUUAAUUGGCAACUCAACGGUGAUGUCGCUUCUUUUGCCAUUUUUCUGCAACACCAAAGGAAAAAAUUUUAAGCCAGCUUUUUUUAGCUGCAAAGAUGACAAAUGUUAUCAACAAUAUCCAACCAGAGUAUAUUUUCAUCCCUUUUCAUCCCGUCACGAUAAGCCAGAAGUAUUUGUUGCCAGAAAUGGAAAACAGCUUGUUCAUCAGCCAGAUGAUCGCAGUGCUCAGAAGUUCCACUCGUUUGCCAUGUGUGAAAAGUUAAGAAUUGAAAACAGACAGGCUUGCUCUGCUUAAACCGUGAGUUCUGUGAAGCAAGAGAAAGAGAAAUUUGGAUACUAGGAGAAGAGUUGUGAGAUGGUUUCGACGGCAAAGUGAACAGGGCCUUUUCACAUUAUUCUGAGAUGGGACCUCUGGGUUGAUUUGAUAGUGGAUAUGACUGUUCUCUAAUUGGCUAGAAGAUGAGUCUAAAGUUACCAACCACCGGAGGAUACUUUUGUGUUCUAGAACAAAUUCCAAUGUCCUACACAAAUGUGAUGCUGGGGACUUCUCUGUUACCUGACACCAAAUUUCCUAGACAUUUCCAUUAUACUUCCUCUUCCUGAUUAUCUUGAGUGGGAAAUCUCCAUGAGUUCUUAGUAGAAGGCAGAAGUAUACAGUGGACCUGGGCCUUCAUUAGAAACCAUGAGACUUCAAAUGAGAGCCUGAAUUAUUCCUUUAUGUUUUCAUUUAUGUGAGAAAAUAAGGGAUAUUGUUGACUUUUUAUGAGAUUAAGUUACCCAGUUAUCCAUCCUAUUAUUAUAAGUUUUAGUGUUUGCAAAGAGAUUUCUGAUCGUUUUUAUUAGUCUCUUUGUAAUAGCUUCAGGGACUUUUUGACAAAAGAGAGAACCAUUUUAAGCAGUAGAAAUGUAGGCUUACAGAGGUCAAAUGGUUAAUUUGAGAUUGCCCAGCAAAACAAAACAAUACGAAAAAGAACACCUGAAGAAAAAUCAAGAUUCAUACUCUGGGCUGUAAUUACCAUUCUGUAGGUUUCCGGAAGCUCAUAUAGUCACAUUACAUUUUGUUCAUGUCGUUAGAAAUCAUUUGCAGUUCAACACUUAGAUUCCCUCCUGUGUUUGAUUUGCAAGGUCUUGGAAGUUAACUUGAACUCAAGGAUUUGUCUACCUAAGAGAGGCAAAUAGAAAAACCCCUAAAGCCACCUGACCUGAUUCUUCUUUGUUAAGACCAGCUCAGAAUAGAGUGAAAUAAGCAAGCUGCAGAAAGACAAUGCUACGUUGAGUUCCACUUCCUCUUGAUAAAUUCAGAACAGCCAGUCCAUCUUAAGGGUGGAUGUUUUUAGCAGCAGGGAGUGGUAGUUGGAUGGAGGCAAGCGGAUGGAAAGGAGGAGAGAGGAGAAGAGAGACAAACUCAGGUGCCCCAGAAAAGUCCACUUUCUCCGUCCCCAUUCAGGCCACCUUCAUCUUCCCCCACCCUCUGCUGGCCUUUCUGGGGGCUCAGGUUUUGAGCUGACUGAGCCCUCAGCGGGAGACCACAACGCAUUUUCAGAUGAAAGGACAACCCUGAAGGUACCUAUUACAUGUCUGUGAGCAGAGAAACAAAGGCCCGGCUGCUGACACCCUCCCACUAACUUGAGUUUUAAUGGUAGGUUUGAUUUCCUCACGCUUAGCUGAAAGAAAGGGAAAAAACUAAGCGGAAAGAACGAGGGUGUGGGUAUCUGUGGUGGUGGGGAAACGACAGCUGUUGUAUUCAUGGUUAAUCAGGUGUGUCUGGCUUUGUGUCGCAUCUGUCUGCUACUGUUGCCAGGCCACAUGUGAAAGGGAACCGAGGGGAAGGGGCCAUUCAUGUUCAAAGCCAGUAGCACUGACCUCUGCCUCGUUCUCUUCAGGGUAGGAAAGCUUGUCUAUUUAACUUUCCCUAUUAUAGGAAGCUGUAAUUCUACUCUAUUAGCCCACCCUAACCAUUUUGGCCUGACAAAUGCAAGCUGCAUCCAGAAUGCCAUAAAUCUGCAUGGGAAGGAGUCCUCCUCCCUCCUUCCCAUUUUUUUCCUUUGGGGUUCGGUUCGAUUUGUCAAACAAGAGAAAACCAGCAAGAGAGAGAAAAAUGAGAACUCAGGGCAUCUUGGUUCACCUUCCAUCUUAAAUGGGCCUAGGGACCGAGAUGGGGGCUGGGAGGCACCCCAAGGUCAAGCCUGGAGCACUGGUUCCCCCUCCAGAUCUGUUUAUCUCACGAGUCCCACAUGCGUGUGGUGAUUGCGUCAGACCUUAGUCAUCUCCCUGGCACCAAAUCCUCCUCCUGGAUCCUUGAUCCCCCUCCUCCUUCUCUGCCCACAUACAGAGGGACCAUGAUGGAGGAGGGGAGGCUUCUGGCUUCUCCUGGAGCCAGGCCUGUGUUCUAGAUAUUGCUGGCCCAGGCCUGCCAGGCACGACUCUCCUCUCUGGCAUAUGGAGAAACAGCUGAAAUGGAAACAACCCCCAAUGCACCACAUUGCACUAAAGCUUAGCGUCAGAGUUCAAAGGACUACUCCAAUUGGAGAUCAAACUGAUCCCUCCCACUGUGGCCUUUUUUGAGGGGGUCCAUCACAACCCUUCGGGGGUGCUUUUCUCCAGCACUUCCGCUUCAGGGCCAGCCCUUGUGUUUCUUGGAGUAAAUGAUUGCUGUCAGCAUUUCCAACACCAUGGAGUUCUGGCUCCAACUUUGGCUUCCUGGAGAAUGGGCCAUCAUAGACUUAUUACAGGGUUCAGAAGAGCUUGCCAUCUGCAAUCUAUUUUAGUUGUCACUGCCUCUUAAAAUAGGCACUAACUUUUAUCCCAUCACAUUAAUUCCUCUCAUGUUGAGGCUAGAGUCGAGCUUUUGGGGUGUGUGUAUGCACGUAACUAUCUUUUUAAAAUCAGAAGGGUUAUUUUCCUAAGACAUGGGUUAUCAGCAGCACAGCUGAGUUUCCUCUUUCUACUGGCCUGUGCUGAUGAAGUUGGUUGCGUUAUUGACCUGCAGCUUUGGGGUCAGAAUGCUUUUGGUUCCCUGAUGUAGAAGGACAUUGCAAAACUAUCCCAGUGCCCUGUGCACUGUCUUUCUCUCUCUGAUACUCCCCAGAUCUCCAAAUUUUAAUGGUGUCAAUAGACAUAACUCAUGCUCCUGCUAGAAGCCUAGCACCCUGCUAGGCUCUGUGAGGACUUUGAGAAUUUGUCAUCUUGUGAGACGCCAUGAAUAAUGCAAGAAAUAGCAAAACAGGUCUGAAAAUGAAGUCUAACUAAAAAGUGUACAAAUCCUAAGUGUACAGCUCUAUGAAUUAUUACUAAGUGAAUAUGCUCACGUAACCAUCACCUAGAUUAAGAAACAGAACAUUACCGCCACUGGAAACUUCUUAAAGUUCUACCUAGGUGGACACCUUGUUAUAUCUAAAACAAUUCUACAACGUGAUUGGGAGUGAGAUUUAGUUCUUAAUUAUGUGGCUAUGGAAAUGUAGAUUUUGAAAGGUUCCCAUUGGCUGGAAGAGAUUUGCCCAUGGGAAGAUUUUGAGUAUGCCCUGGGCUGGCCUGCUGAAGUUGAACUUUAGAGAACCCGGGCGGGCUGGCUGUGCAAUGCUCUUGGCUCCAGAGAAGGACAUGCAAGAUUCUGGCAUCCUUUUUAAAAAAAUUGUGGUAAAAUAUACAUAACAUAAAAUUAAUCAUUGUAAUCAUUUUUAAGUGUGCAGCUCAGCAGUGUUAAGUACAGAUUGUUGCGCAAUGAUCACCACCAUCCAUCCCCAGAGCUCUUUCAUCUUGAAAAACGGAAACUCAAUACCCAUUAAACAGCAACUCCCUAUUUCCCUCCACCCCCAUACCCGGUAACUACCAUUCUACUUUCUGUCUUUCUGAAUUUGACUACUGUAGGUACCUCACAGAAGUAGAAUCAUGCCAUAUUUGUCUUUUUGAGACCGUUUUAUUUCACUGAGCGUAAUGUCCUCAAGGUUCAUCCAUGUCAUGGCAUGUGUCAGAAUUCCCUUCCUUUUUAAGGCUGAAUAAUAUUCCACUGUACAUGUGUACCACAUUUAGUUUACUCAUUCAUCCAUCCAGGGACUCUUGGGUCACUGCCACCUUUUGGCUCCUGCAAAUAAUGCUGCUUUGAACAUGGGUGUACAAAUUACCCUUAUGCACCUUUCCAUUCUUUUGGGUGUAUACCUAAAAGUGGGAUUGCUGGAUCAUAUGGUAAUUGUAUCUUUAGUUUUGGAGGAAUUACUAUAUCAUUUGCUGUAGCAGCUCACUAUUCUGGAAUCCUUUUCACCUGGACCAUUUCCUCCUGACCAGCCUCCUGGAUGGCAUUAGAGGGAGCCUGACACGUGGAUUGAGGUGGUGGCAAUAGUGAGGAUGGUGGUCUGUACUCUGUAUGUGCCCGUUGUUGGGAAUCUAGAGCAAAUGGGGCAGGAUGGAGUGUGACACCACAAUCCAUGGUGGAAACUUGAGAGUUCACUGAAUAGAGGGGGAGGAAUUUAUUUAUUUACUUAUUUUUAUUUUUGAGACAGGGUCUUGCUCUGUCACUUAGGCUGGCAUGCAGUGGUGCAACAUAGCUCACUGCAGCCUUGAACUCCUGGGCUCAAGAGAUGUUUCCACCUCAGUCUCCUGAGCAACUGAGACGACAGGCCCACAUCACCACACCUAGCUAUUUAAAAAAAUUAUUUUUAUUUUGUAGAGAUGGGGUCUCAUUAUGUUGCCCAAGCUGCUCUUGGUCUCAAACUCUUGAGCUCAAGUGAUGCUCCCACCUUCAGCCUCCCAAAGUGCUAGAUUUACAGACGUGAGCCACUGUGCCCAGUCUGUGGGAAUAGUUCAUUUUGCACAAAGAUAAAUGCUUUUCCCCCUAAUUUGUGGGAGACUGAGGUUAAAGGAGUCCUUAAUAACCAGGUAUUCAGAGGCCUUCUGCCUGUUCAGUGUAUCACCUCCAGAUUUUUGGGGGGCCUUUAGGCGUAAGUGUUGAGAUAUUUAUAGAACAGAUUAUGAGCUUUUAAAUAGAUUACCUAAAAAAAAAGAAGAAGAGAGAGAGUGAGGGAAAUGGUAGCCAGUAAACCAACUGAGGAAGGCACACACCUUUUGCCUGAUAGGGAUGUCGAGGAGAGGGAUGCCACUUGAAUACGAAGGUCGUUCUUGGGCUCACGGGUGCAGUCGUUUGGGUUUAGUGCUGGCUGCUGAUGCCAGAAGCACUCAGUAUUGAACAUUCAGGGGCUUCUUCAAACAAUUUUAAGUAUUUCUGUUUUCUAAAUCUUGAUGCUUUAUUGCUAGGGAUAAGCUCACAUUAAUAUCCACUGGAAGGAAGAACUAUGAGGAUCACCAGGGUGAGGACCUUUAGAACUGAAGAAGGACACAUUAUUAUUGCUAAAAGAAUAUCUGCUUCUUCCCAGUUCCUUCCCUUUGGCCUUCUCCCAUUUCAUUAUAGGAAAAAAAAGCUCCAUGAAAUUACAUAUUGUUUUCUUAAAUUUAAAAGAUACGUAUGGCUGCCACCUAAAGUCUGUCAAGGAAAAAAAAUGUCCUACCCCAAAUGGUAACCAUUAUUUAACAGUUGUUUUAUUUUCUUCCAAAACGCUCUGUAUAUAUUCACUGUGCUUUUGAGGCAGCACAGUUUAGUUCUAAUUACUUACAACCCAAACACCACCAAUUAUAAAAAUAUACAGAUACUACCCGUAUGCAACUCUUUACCAUUAUAAACUACUUUCACAUAUAAUUGAACCUUAUCAAAAUUGAAAUUAGUAGUAGUCUUUUUUUUUUUUUUUUUGAGAGGGAGUCUGGCACUGUUGCCCAGGCUGGAGUGCAGUGGUGUGAUCUUGGCUCUUGGCUCACUUCAACCUCUGCCUUCCGGGUUCAAGCGAUUCUCCUGCCUCAGCCUCCUGAGUAGCUGGGAUUACAGGCAUGCGCCACCAUGUCUGGCUAAUUUUUGUAUUUUUAGUAGAGACUGAGUUUUGUCAUGUUGGCCAGGCUGGUCUCAAACUCCCAACCUCAGAUGAUCUACCUGCCUUGGCCUCUGAAGUGCUGGGACUACAGGUGUAAGCCACCAAGCUUGGCUGAAAUUGGUAUUAUUCUUAUUUAAUAGAAAGGAGAGGCAGGGGAGAUUAAGACACUUGUUCAAAUUUACACCACAUGUUAGAAAAUGGAGUUGGGACAAGAAUCCAAGUCAUUGAAGUAAACUGUAGGUCCACAAGCCUUUCUCCUCCACCAUAGAAUCUGGAGUGAACAUUGGAGGCCAAAGUGCCUUACAGAAAUACUUAAAGGAGCUACCAAGUCACUGGCUUCAUAAAGCUGACUAAUCUUCAUGUGUCCAUGGUGUCAGUUUAUGAAACCCUUUAUCUUAUACGAGGAGGCACACUGGACUCACUAAGAAUUGCAAUGAGAAUUGAGUUUAUUGGAAUAGGUAUAACCUCAAUAGAAUCAUAGAGAAGACAACUGAGAACCUGGAAAACAUUUUUAGUAUUCAUGAGUGUGUUGGCACCAGCUUAUUUAUAAAGUUGUUUUGACAACGUGUGUGCCUUAAACUUCUAUUUAUAAGAAGUAAAAUGGAAUCAUCUUCUUACCCUGCUGAGUUGCAAAUUCUGUUUUAGGGCAAAUUUUUAAUCUGCCUCUUUAAUAUAGAGCAAUAGAUAUAUUUUUUUUCCUGCUGAGUUUAUUUUUUCAAGUACAUAAGUUAAUUAAGAACCAUUUACCUGAAGAUAUGUUUUCUUCCUUAUGAAGUACAUAAUGAGAACAUGGCCACAGAUGUUAGGUAGUGACAGAAAUGCCUGUCUGGAAGGUGAAUUCUUUAAAUUUUUUUUAUCUCACAAUAGCUGUAUAGAGAAUUGUUGAUGGUUCAUGUUUUAUUUCCCUUUGUUAUAAAAUUUUCAUAGUUUGCAAAAAUAAAAGUUAUGGGCUAUGUGUCCUUUAUUUGAUACUCCCUGUGAGAAAGGGUAAGAUAGAAGAUUCAGUAAUGGCCAGUGUUGGUGGAAGAGACUGCUGCUUGUAACCAGUAGAGAGGAACGGGGGGUGGGGAAGUUUACUUCAGCACUGUAUUGAUUAGAAUUAGAUUCUUCUUUAUAGGAGACAGAAAUAUCUUAUAUAAGUGGCAUAAAAAUAUGAAAGUAAAUGUGUCUUUUACAUAAAAGAAAUUCAGAGUUGCAGUCUAUGGCUGGUAUGGUUCCUCCAUGAGGUUUUCAGAUACUCAGUUUCCUUCUAGUUCAUUAAUCUGUCAUUCUUAGGUUAUAGCUUUUGUCUUUAUUGUCUUCAUGAUUCAAGAUGGCUGCUAGAGCUCCAGCCAUCAUUCCUUCCUUCCUUCUUUCCUUCCUUCAUUUCUUUCUUUCCUUCUUUCCUUCUUUCUCUCUUUCUCUCUCCUUCCUUCCUUCCUUCCCCCCUUCCUUCCUUCCUUCUUUCUUUCAUUCUUUUGUUCUUUCUUGCUCUCUCACCCAGACUGGAGUGCAGUGGCACAAUCACAGCUCACUACAGCCUCUAACUCCUGGGCUUAAGUGAUCCUCCUGCCUCAGCUUCUCGAGUAGCUGAGGCUACAGUUGCACAGUACUAUGCCUGGCUAAUUUUUAAAUUCUUUGUAGAGAGAGGGUCUUGCUUGGUUUCCUGGGCUGGUCUUGAAAUCCUGGCCUUGAUCUCCUGCCUUGGCCUCCCAAAGUUGCUAGGAUUACGGAUAUGAGCCACUGCACCUGGCUCAUGUGUGUGUGUGUGUGUGUGUGUGUUUUUACAGAGGAACUUCCUAGAAAUUCCACACAAUACUUCUGCUUAUGUUGUAUUGUCCAGAACCUAGUCAUAUGGCCACAUUUACCUGCCAGGUAGGCUGGGAAAUAUAUGUUGUGGAUGGCAAUAAGCUGAAAUAAAAAUUGAAGUUCUGUUAUUGAAAAGGGGAAAAAUGGAUUUUUUUUUCCAGGAAGAACUUUUUAUUAAUAUAAAGUUUUAAGAUAUUCACCAGUCAGAUCUAAACUUACUCAUUAAACUCUAUUUUUAAAAAAUGAACACACUGUACUGCAGUGAAAGGCAGGAACGUGGUUUUAGACACUGAUUGAAAACCAGUGUCUUCACGCACUGAGAACAGGAAACAUUCUGCACUGCGAACGAAGUGCACAGUCAACAGGAAGACACACACACACGACAGAAAGCCCCCAGUGUGAGUGACCGUGUACCUGGGCAGGUGACAGGAUGCCCAGGCCGUGGCUUGGACAUGGCUGCCACGCUGCGAUGCCUGCUGGGCCCCACAAGGACUGGGGACACACACAGAGCCCAGCUAUACACUGUGAUAGAGUCCACCCAUUUUGCUACCCUAUACCCAUGUGCACUGUUCUCCUACCUUCCUGCUACCUGGAUUGUGAUUGUAAGGCCUGGAUUCCAAGAUGUUAACUUGAUAAUAAAAGCCACACACAAUAGAACAGUAAGAUGCAAGGCACAUGCAUCCCUGGCACUGUGGAGCUGUGGACAGACUAGCUCUAGAUUUCCACGUGAGAGAGAAAUACCUCUCUAUUUUGAUUAAACCAUUUUGCUAGAGUUUUGAUGGUUGCAGCUGAGCCUAAUCUUAACAGAUACAAGCAUAAUAUAAACUUAUAAAAUAGUGUUCUUUUUAAGAUUGUGUCUUACUUUGCCUACCAAUGCAGGUGGACUGACCAUCUGCCUAUCCAGCCUGGCCUACCAUGUGAUACUAGGUAUACGAAGUUGGCUCAGAAGUUAAUUUCACUCACGGGAGCUUCUGUUCUAGGAAGAACAAACAAACCAAUGCAGUAAAGGGACUCCCAUUGCUUUAAUGGAAAUCUGUAUAAAAGAGAGUGGUGCCCAGAGAUAUUUGCUAUAUGCUCUACUGCCAUCUUAGACUAGGAAAAACCAAAACCAAAACAAUGCUGACCAUAGCAUAUUUUUUUCAUCAUUGACAUUAUCUUUAUAUUAAUCACUUGUAAUUAUUCCUUGAAUAUACAAAAUCUGACUAUUGGUUUUUGUUUAUAUUGAGAGAAUGAUGACAUCAGAUUAAACAUUAAUUUUCCCUUGAGAAUCUUUCAAUACAAUUGGAGUAGAAUUUUUUUUUUUUGAGACAGGGUCUUGCUGUGCCACCCAGGCUGGGGUGCAGUGGGGCAAUCAUGGCUCACUGCAGCCUCAACCUCCUGGGCUCAGGUGAUCCUCUUGCCUCAGCCUCCUAAGUAGCUGGUACCACACGCGUGCACCACCACACCUGACAAAUAUUGGAAAAUUAUUUAUAGAGAUGAGGUCUCCCUAUGUUGUUCAGACUGGUCUCAAACUCCUGAACUCAAGCGCUCCUCUUGCCUCGGACUCUUAAAGUGCUGAGAUUGCAGGUGUGAGCCACUGCACCCAGCCUGGAGCAGAAUAUUUUUACAUAAAACUAAAGAGAGGUUGGCGACUUAUAAUCGUGUUCAGGAGGUAGCAAAUGUUUUACUUAGGUGAGAAGAAAUAUACUUUUCGUGUUGUCAUAGAGUAAGCCCAAUCCUUAUUUACUUUUGUUACCAUUGGCAUGACAACAAUCAUUGGAGCAUCUUUGUCUUCCAAACAUUUCUUAUAUUAUUUACUUUUUCAUAGCAACUUAAAACGGAAGAUCAUAGAGUUUAGGUGACUUGCCCUAGGACACGCCCUUGGAAAAUAGUAGAGCCAGAAUUUGAAUUCAGUUCUGGGUCUCUUUUUUUUUUUUGAAUUCCAUUCAUGUGUUGAUAAUAGCUGCUAUGGAGACUUAGCCAGGAAAGCAGAUGUGGAUGGUUAGCGGAAGCUAAAGAGGAAAAAGGUUAAGCUUUUUUUUUGAAGUUUUCCUGCUCAGCUAGGAAAACAUUGCUGCAGUUAUCAGGUAAUUGAAGUGUCAACGUGACGCUGUCAGAAAGGUUGGAUGAAUUUGUUCCUGUUGGCCUAUAUUUGGCUGUUAAGUGAGUUGCACAAUUGCAGUUUUCAGGUUAAGAAACUCUCUGGCAGUCGUGGGAGUUCCUCUUUAGAAGCAACUCUGCUAACAUGCAAAAUCAAUGUCACUGAAGAUUUUGCUUAUGUUACUGCCUCCAACACUGUUUGAUCCUUACAUAAAAGAGACAUUUGUCAUUUGACAGGACUAAGACUGGGAAAGGUUGUGGAGGCUUCCCCCAGCUGUGGUGCACAAAUAUCUACACAUUCUGUCUGCUUAAGUUUCUUUGGAAUGUUUUCAUUGCAAAGGCUGGGUCACUGAGGGGGCCUGCCCUUGCCCUUUGACCUUGGUAAAUUACUGCCCCCAGUCCUGAUGAGUUUGCAGGACAAACUUCCAUCAUCUUCCCAACCUUGGCAAUGAGGGAGAAGGCUGGACCUCCCUGGCUUUGUUUUAAUCCAUUUUCACCUCCCUUUUCUUUUUCUUUCUCUUAAUUCUUGUUGUUCUUCCUUUGAGUGACUACCAGCCCCUAUGUAACUCUUUCUCUUUUUUUUCUACCCCUCUAUCUUGGCUGCCACUCAACUUCAAAGCUCACUUCAGCAGGAGAAAUGUGUGAGUUGUAUGGAAAUGCUGCCCUCUGGACUUUCAGUAUUUUAACCCCCGGACUUGAUUCAACUGCUUCCCAAAUGAUUGGAAAGAAAUAUCCCAAGCCCAGAACUGGAGAAACCCUUUUUUUUUCAGUGACCAAAUAGAUUUUGGUGUUGUGCCUAUGUACCUUUGAUCAAUUCAUAUUUCCAAUUUGGGGACAUGCUUUUUCUAAAGACAAGUGUCUUUCACUUAGAGGAACUUAGCUGAUGGAUGACUUGUACAGAUCCAAUUAGUCUUGUUUCAGAUUAUAGGCAUUCAGAAAGAGGUAUCUUUUAAUGGUUUUUUGGGACCGUGGGAAUUUUGUUACAAUAUCUGUCACAUCUUCCAGUAAAAAAGUGAUAGCAAUUUUUUUCUCUUUGGAGGUCUUUUUAAAAUGCCUUCUUUCCUCAUUGCUACAGAUAUGUUCUUGCAUAAAUCUUUGAAGCAAGCCAAUGUCUUCUAGAAUCUCAUUAAAUUUCAUGACUUUCCAUUCCUUGUGUUGAAAAUAUAUUCCAUUUUUUACAUAACAUUUUAAACAUUAUCCCUUAAAAAGGUAAAGGAUGUUCAUAGGGAAUCAGAAAGUUUGUAAAACACAAAUAAUAAAAAUUAAAAUAAUCCAUAAUGAUAAAAUUGUCACGUUUUAUCCUGUUUAUUUUGCUUAGAGAGUGAUAGAGCCUUUGUUGGGUG